AAAACUUGCUGUCUGUCAGUCCGACAUUUGGCAGCAUUGUUUCAAUAUUCAAAUUGGAUCUCCUGCUGUCCCAUAGUAAUGAAGGUGUCGCCUGUCGGGACGAGACAGAAAGGCAGCGUUUGCGCCUUUCUGGCAUCAUUUUUAUGGAUCUAUACAAAACAAAAAUCAACUGAAAAACGAAACGCAGUUAAUUUUCAGUCUUUCCAGCUUCAGAUCUGGGGAAGGGUACCAAAACAUUACAGACUCUUCCUAGAGCUGGCAGUCCAGCCAAACUGAGCAAUCGGGUGAGAAGGGCCUUGGUCAGGGAGGUGACCAAGAACCCAAUGGUCCAACCUGACAGAGCUUGAGAGGAUCUGCAGAGAAGAAUGGGAGAAACUCCCCAAAUACAGGUGUGCCAAGCUUGUAGCAUCAUACCCAAGAAGACUUGAGGCUGUAAUUGCUGCUGUUAGGUUCUUAUUUUUCAGAGUAAACAACUCACGGACAUUAGAGAAGCUUUAACCAAGUAUAAUGUUUCCCAAAGGUUCUGUACAGCUGAAAUCAGACAUCACAGUUUAAAUGCAUCCAACUUAAGACACUCCUCCUCCUUAGUUUAUGGCUCCACAGGAAAGAAUGUAACCAGAUAGCAACCCUGAUUACUCCCUUAAGGGGAACUGACCUCACCUCUCACCUCCUUCACCUAAUCCACAGAUAUCUGUCUUCCCUAUAUCAACACAUCGCUCUCCUCUCCUCCAUCAAAUACAUUCCAAAGCCGCCUUCUUUCUUCAGAGAACCAUUAACUUCUAACAUAACCCAGUCUCUUUCAUUUCCUAUCUCCAUGAUCAAAGUUUAGCCGAUUCCAACACUGCCAAAGGUGCUUCAACAAAGUACUGAGUAAAGGGUCUGAAUACUUAUGUAAAUGUUAUAUUUCAGUUUUUUUAAUAUUUAAUACGUUUGCAAAAAUGUCUAAAAAACAGUUUUUUUAUGGGGUAUUGUGUGUAGAUUGAUGAGGGGGGAAAAACGAUUUAAUCAAUUUUAGAGUCAAGGGGUCUGAAUACUUUCUGAAUGCACUCUGUUGUCUCAGUGACUGUAGGGGGCUAGCACUGUUACAUGCUGCUGCUAUUGUCAUAUCUAUAGGAAAUUAGUUGAAUAGGUUUUCCUGUUCUCUUUUAUUGUUACAG
rnacentral:lncRNA from 1 species